GCUUAUCUAGCUCAGUUGGUAGAGCUAUCGGCUGUUAACCGGGGGGUCAGAGGUUCAAGUCCUCUGAUAAGCGCCA
rnacentral:tRNA from 1 species